GACGAACGCUGGCGGCGUGCUUAACACAUGCAAGUCGAACGGAAAGGCCCUGCUUUUGUGGGGUGCUCGAGUGGCGAACGGGUGAGUAACACGUGAGUAACCUGCCCCUGACUUUGGGAUAACUUCAGGAAACUGGGGCUAAUACCGGAUAGGAGCUCCUGCUGCAUGGUGGGGGUUGGAAAGUUUCGGCGGUUGGGGAUGGACUCGCGGCUUAUCAGCUUGUUGGUGGGGUAGUGGCUUACCAAGGCUUUGACGGGUAGCCGGCCUGAGAGGGUGACCGGCCACAUUGGGACUGAGAUACGGCCCAGACUCCUACGGGAGGCAGAAGUGGGGAAUAUUGCACGAUGGGCGGAAGCCUGAUGCAGCAACGCCGCGUGCGGGAUGACGGCCUUCGGGUUGUAAACCGCUUUCGCCUGUGACGAAGCGUGAGUGACGGUAAUGGGUAAAGAAGCACCGGCUAACUACGUG
rnacentral:rRNA from 1 species